rnacentral:rRNA from 1 species
CCUACGGGGGGCUGCAGUAAGGAAUAUUGGUCAAUGGACGAAAGUCUGAACCAGCCAUCCCGCGUGCAGGAUGAAAGCCCUAUGGGUUGUAAACUGCUUUUAGCAGAGAAGAAAAGCUUUCAUUAAUGAGAGUCUGACGGUAUCUGCAGAAUAAGCACCGGCUCACUCCGUGCCAGCAGCCGCGGUAAUACGGAGUGUGCGAGCGUUAUCCGGUAUUACUGGGUUUUAGGGGUGCGUUGGCGGCGGUUUUGAAAUCUUGUCGCUUAACGAUAAAAUUGCAAAUGAGACUGGUACUCUUGAAUUGGGUUGAGGUUAGCGGAAUGUGACAUGUAGCGGUGAAAUGCAUAGAUAUGUCAUGGAACACCAAUUGCGAAGGCAGCUAACUGGGCCUUGAUUGACGCUGAGGCACGAAAGCGUGGGUAGCGAACAGGAUUAGAUACCCGAGUAGUC